AAAGCAAUUUGUCUUUGAAAAGCCAUCAGAGGUAAAAAUUACACGGUGGAGCGCAGAGUUCCUGAGGCAGAUGUGAUAGACAAGCCUGGUGUGUAUGAGCUCAGCAAAGGACCAACUGGCAUUUCUAGGUGAGUGGCUGAAACUUGUUACUUGCUUUUGCAGAGUGAUGUGGUGAUACUCAGAUUUCUGAAGCCCAGUCUCUGCAGAGCAUUCUGAC